UCUGUCUAUAAAGUCGUGACAUGAAUGUUUGAGGAACUAACAUUAUUCAUGUGUCUGGCAACACCAAAGAUCACCAAACAUAUGUACAUCAGCUGUCAUCGAGAACAAGUUGUGGAACAAUUUUCAUUUCGUGGUUUUUAUUGUUUGACUAAUCUCCUGUAAAUUAUUACUCAGCUACGAAGAAAAGUAUAAACAAUGAGUAAAGUAAAUUGGAGUGCUACGCGGAAAGUGAUUUUUAAAGUUUUCCAGCAAUGUUCCGCGGAGUACCAAGCUGGUCAAAUUUUGUGGGAUUUUGAUGUUUUUUAUGGGCGAACAGCAUCUUUGACGGGUACGUAAUCGUGUUACUGCUUGUUUAUAAUCUACCUAAAGUAACAAAUUUACUGCAUUUUGCGAUUUGGUGACCAAAACAGGCAUUGUUUACAUAGGACAUUUUUAGGUUAAAUUUUCAUUGAAAAUCAGAGAGUACGGUUAAGCGCAUAGUCAAUGAAGGUUUUCAGAAUAAUGGAAAAUUUAGAACUCCUGGGAAACACAGGCAAGGCCGACCAAAGAAAGAAAUGGAUAAUUUUAAUAUUUGUGCUCUGCGCCAAAAAAUAUAAUUUUUUACACGGUACAAAAAGAGGUCACAAAAUGUUCGCAAUCUCUAAACAUCAAAGGCAUCACAAAAGACAUUUUCAAAGGAAAGCGUUACAUCAUAGUCCAUGCUGGAAGCGAAAAGGGGUUUGUGCCAAACUGCCUCCUCAUAUUCACUGGCAGAAAUAAUUUGGAAGACUACCAUUUAGAAAUGAAUGCGCAUAACUUCACGAAGUGGAUUAAAGAAAAACUAAUACCAAAUCUUCAUGAGCCUUCCAUUAUAUUUAUGGACCUGUACCAAGACAAUUGGUUAUUUGCUUAGGCGAUAAUAACAGCAGCGAAGAUGAUGAUGUGAAUGAUGACAGCGCUGCUUAUGAAAGUGGCAACGAAACUUUUCUUAACAUCGAAAAUUUGGAAUCCGAUGAUGAAAGUUAUUAAUAAAUGUCCUUAUUAACUAUGUAUAA